rnacentral:rRNA from 1 species
GCCCAGCCGUAAACUUUUAUUUACAUCUAAAUCGCCGGGGAACUACGAGCCAAGCUUAAAACCCAAAGGACUUGACGGUACCCCAUAUCCCCCUAGAGGAGCCUGUCCUGUAAUCGACAAUCCACGUUUAACCUCACCAUUUUUAGUUUAUCAGCCUGUAUACCUCCGUCGUCAGCUUACCACGUGAGCGCCUAUUAGUGAGCCCGAUGCUAUUUCACCAACACGUCAGGUCAAGGUGCAGCAAAUGAAAUGGGAAGAGAUGGGCUACACUUUCUAUUUUAGAAGAAACGAAAAACUAUUUAUGAAAUCUAGUUAGAAGGCGGAUUUAGUAGUAAAAAGGAAUUAGCAUGUCCAUUUUAACCCGGCACUGGGGUGUGU